GUGUCAGCAGCCGCGGUAAUACGAAGGUCCCAAGCGUUAUCCGGAUUUAUUGGGUUUAAAGGGUGCGUAGGCGGGUUAUUAAGUCAGUGGUGAAAGCUCCAUGCCUAACAUGGAAAUUGCCAUUGAUACUGAUGAUCUUGAGUACAUUUGAAGUGGGCGGAAUGUGUCAUGUAGCGGUGAAAUGCUUAGAUAUGACACAGAACACCGAUUGCGUAGGCAGCUCGCUAAACUGUAACUGACGCUGAGGCACGAAAGCGUGGGGAGCAAACAGGAUUAGAUACCCCUGUAGUCC
rnacentral:rRNA from 1 species